UACGUAGGUGGCAAGCGUUGUCCGGAUUUACUGGGCGUAAAGAGCGCGCAGGCGGUCGUUCAAGUCGCGUGUGAAAGCCCCCGGCUCAACUGGGGAGGGUCACGCGAUACUGAUCGACUCGAAGGCAGGAGAGGGAAGUGGAAUUCCCGGUGUAGUGGUGAAAUGCGUAGAUAUCGUGAGGAACACCAGAGGCGAAGGCGGCUACCUGGACAAUUGCUGACGCUCAGGCACGAAAGCGUGGGGAGCAAAAGGG
rnacentral:rRNA from 1 species